rnacentral:tRNA from 2 species
GAGGGUUAUGGGUUGUCGCUGCUAACGAUAAUUGGAAUAUUUAGUUGUAUUCGACCCUCU